rnacentral:rRNA from 1 species
GACGAACGCUGGCGGCGUGCUUAACACAUGCAAGUCGAACGGAAAGGCCCUGAUUUUGUGGGGUGCUCGAGUGGCGAACGGGUGAGUAACACGUGAGUAACCUGCCCUUGACUUUGGGAUAACUUCAGGAAACUGGGGCUAAUACCGGAUAGGAGCUCCUGCUGCAUGGUGGGGGUUGGAAAGUUUCGGCGGUUGGGGAUGGACUCGCGGCUUAUGAGCUUGUUGGUGGGGUAGUGGUUUACCAAGGCUUUGACGGGUAGCCUGCCUGAGCGGGGGACCGGCCACAUUGGGACUGAGAUACGGCCCAGACUACUACGGGAGGCAGCAGUGGGGAAUAUUGCACAAUGGGCGGAAGCCUGAUGCAGCAACGCCGCGUGCGGGAUGAUGGCCUUCGGGUUGUAAACCGCUUUCGCCUGUGACGAAGCCGGAGUGACGGUAAUGGGUAAAGAAGCACCGGCUAACUACGUG